AGUAAAAGUCGUAACCAAGGUCUCCGUAGGUGAACCUGCAGAGGGAUCAUUACAAGUGACCCCGGUCUAACCACCGGGAUGUUCAUAACCCUUUGUUGUCCGACUCUGUUGCCUCCGGGGCGACCCUGCCUUCGGGCGGGGGCUCCGGGUGGACACUUCAAACUCUUGCGUAACUUUGCAGUCUGAGUAAACUUAAUUAAUAAAUUAAAACUUUUAACAACGGAUCUCUUGGUUCUGGCAUCGAUGAAGAACGCAGCGAAAUGCGAUAAGUAAUGUGAAUUGCAGAAUUCAGUGAAUCAUCGAAUCUUUGAACGCACAUUGCGCCCCCUGGUAUUCCGGGGGGCAUGCCUGUUCGAGCGUCAUUUCACCACUCAAGCCUCGCUUGGUAUUGGGCAACGCGGUCCGCCGCGUGCCUCAAAUCGACCGGCUGGGUCUUCUGUCCCCUAAGCGUUGUGGAAACUAUUCGCUAAAGGGUGUUCGGGAGGCUACGCCGUAAAACAACCCCAUUUCUAAGGUUGACCUCGGAUCAGGUAGGGAUACCCGC
rnacentral:rRNA from 1 species